UGACUUAGCGGCGGACGGGUGAGUAACGCGUGGGCAACCUGCCUUACACAGGGGGAUAACAAUUAGAAAUGAUUGCUAAUACCGCAUAAGACCCCAGUACCGCAUGGUACAGAGGUAAAAACUGAGGUGGUGUAAGAUGGGCCCGCGUCUGAUUAGGUAGUUGGUGGGGUAGAAGCCUACCAAGCCGACGAUCAGUAGCCGACCUGAGAGGGCGACCGGCCACAUUGGGACUGAGACACGGCCCAAACUCCUACGGGAGGCAGCAG
rnacentral:rRNA from 1 species